GCCGCCGUAGUUCAAGGGACAGAACAAGGGACUCCUAAGCCCUAGAUACAGGUUCGAUUCCUGUCGGUGGCG
rnacentral:tRNA from 3 species